ACACUGUAGCAUUUACAUGCCUGAGAUAGAAAGAGGUGUGAGAGGGGAGGACGGUAAAGUGGUACAGGCUGUGGACUGGAAAUAACUGAACUGGAGCAGAAAUGCUUUCAAUAAGGUGUUGCCAGAAUACAACCAACCAGCAAGUAUUCCAACAUAACAUGAUCUCAACAGUCAGCUCCAGUUUACUGCACCAAGGUAUCUGAGUGCCAUUUUGCAAGCCAAAUGAGGAAUGAAAUCCUAAAAUGAGUGUCCCGUGACUUCUGAUUCACAAUCAGAGUUGAGAGGAGGUAUGAAGAGGAGGACUGUUGGAUGGACCCACAAAACAAAAUGGUUAUUACUCUGUGCUGGGGAUUCUCUGCAAAGUGAAACCUCCGGAGCCUGGCUGUUUACAGACCAUGAACCACCACUCAGGCUUGUUAGAUGGUUGACAACUAAUUCUGUAUCUUGCAAGGAUUCCCACCCCUCCAUGUCAGGUGGAGAAGAUGAAUAGUCCUUGUAAACUAAGGACAGACAGCUGGAUGAACUGCCAGGGAGGAUAAAGAAGAUGCAAACGCAGCAUCUUCAACCACAGGAAAACUGGCUGACUGGCAGGUGCACCAAGUAUUUUAAUAGCUACAAGGCCAAACCACAUGAAAUAUUUCAAGUACCCAAUGCCAGACCUCAAAACAUUGUGUGGAUUGCAUUCUUUCUUUAAGAAUAAUAAAGUUUGCCUCCUUUGAAAGCCAUACAUUUUGAUUAGCCAUGGCUUUGGGGAAAACCACCCUUUCUCAGAUGUUUCUCACCUGACGGAUUGCUUUGGGGCAUGUCUUCUAAUCAGCCUGCGGAAACUGGGUUCGUCUUCCUUGCCUGCCUCAGUGGGCCAUCCACACCUGUGUUGGAAGAUGAAUUAAACAAAUGGAAUAAUUUAAAAUAGUUUAUGUCUAUAAAAAUAUGCUGAUGGCAAGGCAGCUAAGGAGGGAAUGUAAUGAUUCUUUACAGAUAUUUUUGCUCAGGUCUAGAGACUAUAAU